AUACUAUCAAAUAAGGUUAUAUUUGAAUAUAAAACAUUAAGUCCUAUAGAUUCCAUUAUGUCUAUCUCAGCUGUGAAGUCCUCAUUGUGUAUCAACAUUUUUAACUACAGAUACUAUCAGAGUAAUACAAUCUCUAAGUUAGUAACAAAACCAAAGAAAGAAAUUUCAAUUUUCUGGGGGUAAGAAAAUACACCACAGUAGUUCUAAAUAGCAAUCUUUUUGUCUUAGAAAUCCUUACAGACACUCAGGAUUUUCAUUGCCAAACUACAUAAAAAUUCAAGACUUAGAGAAUUUUAGCCAUGUUAAAGAUGAUGCUUUUAUUGCAAAAAGGCAACGAGUUCAUAAUACUGUUUAAGUGCAUGGAUUAUAAUACUCUAAUUAAAGUUGAAUGAUGAUAUAUAAUUUUUAUUAGCCAUUUUCAAAAGAGGAAAUGUUAACUACUAUUGUACUAAAGGAAAUACUUGCUUAAUAUACCAACUGGAAUUAAAAAGGGCUAAAUAAUUUUCCAUAAUUUGUGUAAAAGCAAUUUGUCUACUAGUUCAGAAAAACUAAUGAAUCUUUACAGUGAGAGUAACUUGUUUCUUGAUAUUCUGAAUUAAAAUUUCAUUGUCACAAAAAGGUGGACAUUAAACAUCCCCUUUUAUGAAAACUAAAGCAGCACAUAAAGCACAAUUGGCAUAGGAUAAUUAGUAAUUUAUAAAAACAUGGCAAAUGUAUCUUCCCUUUAGAAUAUCAGCCAAAGUUACAACUAUACAUUUGAGGCAAAAAGGGAAUAAAAUGAGUAUCAGUUAUUUAACCACUACGUACGUUAUGUACUGAUUCUUACCUUUCCACUCUUAAAAGUAUUUGUAGUGUUCAUUAUGAAUAGAGCUAUCACAAAGCUCUUUGAUGAUACAAAUCUUCAGACCCCCCCUUUUACCCUAUUUUUAAUUUUCUCCAGCAGUUCUGUAGACCAUGGCCUUAUGAUGACAUACAUUUUUAAAAAGGAGUAAUGAAUAUGUAACUAUAUCUUAAGCAAGAAAAAGACAAUGAAAAAAGUGAAAUGAAAGUUGAUAUUCCUUAAAAGGAAAAAAUAUUUAUGUGAAUUAAGGACAUAAAACACUCCAGGGUACUUAUUUUGACUAUUUUACAAUUGGUAAACUCAAAUAAGGACCUUCUUAGAAAUAUAUUCCAACAUAUACUUUGGCUUAAAAGGAAACUUUACAAAAUGCAAAAAUUUAGGAAGUAAACUGUCCCCCUAAUGUCAGGUAUUUGUUAAGGGUGAAGGACUAAUUUCUUCCUGUGUCAGUUAUCAGUUAGAAAAGGAAGUAAGUAUGGACUUGUUUUAAAAACUUUGAAAACCUCAAAACUAAGAUAAGAGUGGGUUAUGGGAAAAAACUAGAAUUGAAAACAUGGAAAAACAG